AUUUACUUCUGGGUCUGCGGGUGCUGCGGGCCUCUCCGGCCCCGCUACAAGCGUCUUGUGGACAACAUCUUCCCUGAGGACCCAAAGGAUGGCCUGGUGAAAGCGGACAUGGAGAAGCUGACUUUCUAUGCUGUCUCCGCCCCAGAGAAGCUGGACCGAAUCGGAGCGUACCUGGCAGAGAGAUUGAGCCGAGACGUAGUCCGACACCGCUAUGGGUAUGUGGUUAUCGCCAUGGAAGCGCUGGAUCAGCUGCUGAUGGCGUGUCACUCCCAGAGCAUCAAGCCGUUCGUGGAGAGUUUCCUUCACAUGGUGGCCAAGCUGCUCGAGUCCCGGGAGCCGGACCUGCAAGUACUGGGGACCAACUCAUUUGUGAAGUUUGCGAACAUUGAAGAGGACACCCCCAGCUAUCACCGCCGGUACGACUUCUUCGUGUCUCAGUUCAGUGCCAUGUGCCACUCCACACACGAAGACCCCGAGACACAGACCAGGAUCCGUGUCGCUGGUAUUAAAGGGCUGCAGGGGGUGGUGAGGAAGACGGUGAACGACGAGCUUCAGGCGAUCAUCUGGGAACCCCAACACAUGGACAAGCUGAUCCCCUCACUCCUGUUCAACAUGCAGGACUCAGACGAGACAGAGGGGCCGUCAGGAGAGGAGAAUCCGGCGUCUCUGGCUGAAAGUUGUUUCCGGGAGCUGUUGGGACGAGCCGCCUACGGCAACAUGAACAACGCCGUCCGUCCUGUGCUGGUGCACCUGGAUAAUCAUCGACUGUGGGAUACUAAUGAGUUUUCCGUCUCCUGCUUCCGCAUCAUCAUGUACUCAAUACAGGCACAGCACUCUCACCAUGUGAUCCAGCAGGUGUUGGGACAUCUCGACACACACUCUAAGAACACGCCACGUGUGCGCGCAGGAAUCGUGCAGGUGCUCCUGGAAACGGUUGCCAUAGCAGCCAAAGGUUCAGUAGGGCCCACCGUGUUGGAGGUCUUUAACACACUCCUGAAACACCUGCGUGUGUCCGUGGACGGGGAGCUGGCUGACGGGAGGCGGGUUUCCAACUAUAGCGUGUCAUCAUCCCGCGCCAGAGACAGUGAUGAAAGGAUUGUCCAGAAUGCCAUCAUUCAGACCAUAGGCUUCUUUGGGGGAAACUUGCCAGAUUACCAGCGUGCUGAGGUCAUGAUGUUCAUUAUGGGGAAGAUUCCUGUCUACGGCACGCCCUGUCACUCACUGGACACUGUCAAGAUUGGGUUAGUGACAUCAGGCUUCAAGUCUAAGACCAUGUGUGCGGCUCUGCCUGCCGCCUUCCUUGAGCCCCUGUGUUCCGUGUCUCUGAUGGAAGAUUCCGAGCUCCGCCUCCUUGUCCUGGAGAUUCUUCACAACAUAAUCGAUCGCCAUGACAACCGAGCCAAGCUCCGUGGCAUACGAAUUAUUCCUAAUGUUGCUGCUUUGAAAAUCAAACGUGAGAAAAUAUCGAAGCAAGAUGUUACGUUCAUGAAGAAGCAUGGUCAGCAGCUGUACAGACACAUCUACCUGGGCUGUAAAGAGGAAGACAACGGCCAGAAGAACUUUGAGCUUCUCUUCACGGCCCUGGCUCUCGUCACCAUCGAGCUGGCCAACGAGGACGUCAUCAUCGACCUCAUACGCCUGUCUUUAGCACUCCAGGACAUGGCUCUGACCAAUGAGGAGAACCUGCCCAUGUUCAUCCGCUGUGGCAUCAUGGCGCUGGUCGCCGCCUACCUCAACUUCCUGAGUCAGAUGAUCGCCAGCCCUGGACUGUGUCAACACGUCAGCAAGGUGAUUGAGUUGAGGAAUCUUGAGGCUCCAUAUCUACUCCCAGAGCAUGUAUUCCGAGAAAAGUGUCCGCUUCCAACAGUGCUGCAGGCUGAUGACAGGGCGGUGUUUUUCGGUGUGUGUGACGUGACGGAAGCACUUUGUGGCUCGGCCUACAGUGUGGAGCGCCUGCCCAUCCCUUACGUUCCCCAGGUUACAGGUAAGCCAAUCAGGACUAGCCUACCAUUCCCACAGCCAAUCAAAACCAUCCCCCCCAUUUUGACAGCAAGUUAG
ensembl:lncRNA